AUUGAACGCUGGCGGAAUGCUUUACACAUGCAAGUCGAACGAUGAACCUUAGCUUGCUAGGGGGAUUAGUGGCAAACGGGUGAGUAACAUAUCGGAACGUACCUAGUUAUGGGGGAUAACUAGUCGAAAGAUUAGCUAAUAUCGCAUACGACCUGAGGGGGAAAGUAGGGGAUCUUCGGACCUUACGUUAUUAGAGCGGCCGAUAUCUGAUUAGCUAGUUUGUGGGGUAAAGGCCUACCAAGGCGACGAACAGUAGCUGGUCUGAGAGGACGACCAGCCACACUGGAACUGAGACACGGUCCAGACUCCUACGGGAGGCAGCAGUGGGGAAUUUUGGACAAUGGGGGCAACCCUGAUCCAGCCAUUCCGCGUGAGUGAAGAAGGCCUUCGGGUUGUAAAGCUCUUUCGCAAGGGAAGAAAACUUACAUUCUAAUAAAGUGUGCGGCUGACGAUACCUUGAUAAGAAGCACCGGCUAACUACGUGCCAGCAGCCGCCGCAG
rnacentral:rRNA from 1 species